UACGGGAGGCAGCAGUGGGGAAUAUUGCACAAUGGGCGCAAGCCUGAUGCAGCCAUGCCGCGUGUAUGAAGAAGGCCUUCGGGUUGUAAAGUACUUUCAGUCGUGAGGAAGGUGUUAAGGUUAAUAACCUUAGCAAUUGACGUUAGCGACAGAAGAAGCACCGGCUAACUCCGUGCCAGCAGCCGCGGUAAUACGGAGGGUGCGAGCGUUAAUCGGAAUUACUGGGCGUAAAGGGCACGCAGGCGGUUAAUUAAGUUGGAUGUGAAAUCCCCGGGCUUAACCUGGGAAUGGCAUUCAAGACUGGUUAGCUAGAGUCUUGUAGAGGGGGUAGAAUUCCGAUGUGUAGCGGUGAAAUGCGUAGAGAUGUGGAGGAAUACCGGUGGCGAAGGCGGCCCCUGGACAAGACUGACGCUCAUGUGCGAAAGCGUGGGGAGCAAACAGGGAUUAGAUACC
rnacentral:rRNA from 1 species